rnacentral:misc_RNA from 1 species
AAAAAGAGCACUCACACAUGACCAACCAAAAGAGGAUGGAUAAAUCAUAUAAAAUAUAUAAAUAACAAUAAGAAUUUAAUCAAAAUCAUUAAGUUCGAAAUUAAUUGUUAAAACCAAAAAUCCUUCUAGUUGAACUUCCCACAAGCAUUUCUGAAGCUAUUGUCAGAUUUAGAAAUUUAAGUUUGCAAAUCUCGACUAUAGCUCAAUCACUAAUAAAUGAAAAGGGAACUUUUUUCUUCUGCUCAUAUAUGUUG